rnacentral:tRNA from 1 species
GCCUACUUAGCUCAGUUGGUAGUGCGUCUGCCUUGUAAGCGCUAGGCCGCGGGUUCGAUUCCCGCCCGGGGCG